CCUACGGGAGGCAGCAGUAAGGAAUAUUGGUCAAUGGACGAAAGUCUGAACCAGCCAUGCCGCGUGGAGGAUGAAGGUCUCUGGAUUGUAAACUUCUUUUAUGGGGGACGCGGUACCCUAUGAAUAAGCACCGGCUAACUCCGUGCCAGCAGCCGCGGUAAUACGGAGGGUGCAAGCGUUAUCCGGAUUCACUGGGUUUAAAGGGUGCGUAGGCGGGCAGGUAAGUCAGUGGUGAAAUCUCCGAGCUUAACUCGGAAACUGCCUUUGAUACUAUCUGUCUUGAAUAUUGUGGAGGUAAGCGGAAUAUGUCAUGUAGCGGUGAAAUGCUUAGAGAUGACAUAGAACACCUAUUGCGAAGGCAGCUUACUACCAAUAUUGACGCUGAGGCACGAAAGCGUGGGGAUCAAACAGGAUUAGAUACCCUUGUAGUC
rnacentral:rRNA from 1 species